rnacentral:rRNA from 1 species
GUGCCAGCAGCCGCGGUAAUUCCAGCUCCAAUAGCGUAUAUUAAAGUUGUUGUGGUUAAAAAGCUCGUAGUUGAACCUUGGGCCUGGCUGGCCGGUCCGCCUCACCGCGUGCACUGGUCCGGCCGGGCCUUUCCCUCUGUGGAACCCCAUACCCUUCACUGGGCGUGGCGGGGAAACAGGACAUUUACUUUGAAAAAAUUAGAGUGCUCCAGGCAGGCCUAUGCUCGAAUACAUUAGCAUGGAAUAAUAAAAUAGGACGCGCGGUUCUAUUUUGUUGGUUUAUAGGACCGCCGUAAUGAUUAAUAGGGACAGUCGGGGGCAUCAGUAUUCAACUGUCAGAGGUGAAAUUCUUGGAUCAGUUGAAGACUAACUACUGCGAAAGCAUUUGCCAAGGAUGUUUUCAUUAAUCAGGAACGAAAGUUAGGGGAUCGAAGACGAUCAGAUACCGUCGUAGUCUUAACCAUAAACUAUGCCGACUAGGGAUCGGACGGUGUUAUUCAUGACCCGUUCGGCACCUUACGAGAAAUCAAAGUGCUUGGGCUCCAGGGGGAGUAUGGUCGCAAGGCUGAAACUUAAAGAAAUUGACGGAAGGGCACCACCAGGGGUGGAGCCUGCGGCUUAAUUUGACUCAACACGGGGGAAACUCACCAGGUCCAGACACAAUAAGGAUUGACAGAUUGAGAGCUCUUUCUUGAUUUUGUGGGGUGGUGGUGCAUGGCCGUUCUUAGUUGGUGGGGUGACUUGUCUGCUUAAUGCGAUAACGAACGAGACCUUAAUCUGCUAAAUAGCCCGCAUGCUCCGGCAGUGCGGCUGGCUUCUUAAGGGGGACUUCCGCUCAGCCGAAAGGAAGUUU